GCAACGAUCAGUAGCCGAUCUGAGAGGAUGUACGGCCACAUUGGGACUGAGACACGGCCCAGACUCCUACGGGAGGCAGCAGUGGGGAAUAUUGCACAAUGGAGGAAACUCUGAUGCAGCGACGCCGCGUGAGUGAAGAAGUAUUUCGGUAUGUAAAGCUCUAUCAGCAGGGAAGAGAAUGACGGUACCUGACUAAGAAGCACCGGCUAAAUACGUGCCAGCAGCCGCGGUAAUACGUAUGGUGCAAGCGUUAUCCGGAUUUACUGGGUGUAAAGGGAGCGUAGGUGGCAAGGCAAGCCAGAAGUGAAAACCCGGGGCUCAACCGCGGGAUUGCUUUUGGAACUGUCAUGCUAGAGUGCAGGAGGGGUGAGCGGAAUUCCUAGUGUAGCGGUGAAAUGCGUAGAUAUUAGGAGGAACACCGGAGGCGAAGGCGGCUCACUGGACUGUAACUGACACUGAGGCUCGAAAGCGUGGGGAGCAAACAGGAUUAGAUACCCUGGUAGUCCACGCGGUAAACGAUGAAUACUAGAUGUCGGGUAGCAUAGCUACUCGGUGUCGUCGCAAACGCAAUAAGUAUUCCACCUGGGGAGUACGUUCGCAAGAAUGAAACUCAAAGGAAUUGACGGGGACCCGCACAAGUGGUGGAGCAUGUGGUUUAAUUCGAAGCAACGCGAAGAACCUUACCUGCUCUUGACAUCCCAUUCGAUAGAGGGUAAUGCCUCUAGCCCUUCGGGGGAAUGGAGACAGGUGGUGCAUGGUUGUCGUCAGCUCGUGUCGUGAGAUGUUGGGUUAAGUCCCGCAACGAGCGCAACCCUUAUUGUCAGUAGCCAGCAGUUAGGCUGGGCACUCUGAUGAGACUGCCGGGGAUAACCCGGAGGAAGGUGGGGAUGACGUCAAAUCAUCAUGCCCCUUAUGAGCAGGGCUACACACGUGCUACAAUGGCGUAAACAGAGGGAAGCGAAGGAGUGAUCCGGAGCAAAUAUCAAAAAUAACGUCUCAGUUCGGAUUGUAGUCUGCAACUCGACUACAUGAAGCUGGAAUCGCUAGUAAUCGAAGAUCAGAAUGCUGCGGUGAAUACGUUCCCGG
rnacentral:rRNA from 1 species